UACGUAGGGCGCAAGCGUUGUCCGGAAUUAUUGGGCGUAAAGAGCUCGUAGGCGGUUUGUCGCGUCUGCUGUGAAAACCUAAGGCUCAACCUUGGGCUUGCAGUGGGUACGGGCAGACUAGAGUGCGGUAGGGGUGACUGGAAUUCCUGGUGUAGCGGUGGAAUGCGCAGAUAUCAGGAGGAACACCGAUGGCGAAGGCAGGUCACUGGGCCGCAACUGACGCUGAGGAGCGAAAGCUCGGGGAGCGAACGGG
rnacentral:rRNA from 1 species